UACGUAGGGUGCGAGCGUUGUCCGGAUUUAUUGGGUUUAAAGGGUGCGCAGGCGGGAGAUUAAGUCGGCGGUGAAAUUUUGCAGCUCAACUGUAAAAGUGCCUUCGAAACUGGUUUCCUUGAGUGUAGAUGAAGUAGGCGGAAUUUGUGGUGUAGCGGUGAAAUGCAUAGAUAUCACGAGGAACUCCGAUUGCGCAGGCAGCUUACUAAACUACUACUGACGCUCAGGCACGAAGGCGUGGGGAUCAAACAGGAUUAGAUACCCUGGUA
rnacentral:rRNA from 1 species